GACAGAGGGUGCAAACGUUGUUCGGAAUUACUGGGCGUAAAGCGCGUGUAGGCGGCCCUGCAAGUCGGGUGUGAAAUCCCACGGCUCAACCGUGGAAGUGCAUUCGAAACUGCAGGGCUAGAGUCCUGGAGAGGAAGGUGGAAUGCUUGGUGUAGAGGUGAAAUUCGUAGAUAUCAAGCGGAACACCGGUGGCGAAGGCGGCCUUCUGGACAGUGACUGACACUGAGACGCGAAAGCGUGGGGAGCAAACAGG
rnacentral:rRNA from 1 species